rnacentral:rRNA from 1 species
CCUACGGGGGGCAGCAGUAGGGAAUAUUCGUCAAUGGGCGCAAGCCUGAACGAGCGAUGCCGCGUGAGUGAAGAAGGCCUUCGGGUCGUAAAGCUCUGUUGCGGGGGAAAAAAGGCAGCAUCAGGAAAUGGGUGCUGACUGAUGGUGCCGCGCCAGAAAGGCACGGCUAACGACGUGCCAGCAGCCGCGGUAAGACGUAGGGGGCGAGCGUUAUCCGGAAUGGUUGGGCGGAAAGGGUGCGCAGGCGGUCCUGCAAGUCUGGAGUGAAACGCAUGCGCUCAACUCCUGCAUGGCUUUGGAAACUGGAGGACUGGAGUGCAGGAGAGGGCGGUGGAACUCCAUGUGUAGCGGU